rnacentral:rRNA from 1 species
UUACCACCUUUUGACAUGCCUGGACCGCCAGAGAGAUCUGGCUUUCCCUUCGGGGACUAGGACACAGGUGCUGCAUGGCUGUCGUCAGCUCGUGUUGUGAAAUGUUGGGUUAAGUCCCGCAACGAGCGCAACCCUUAUCCUUUGUUGCCAGCGGUUCGGCCGGGAACUCAAAGGAGACUGCCAGUGAUAAACUGGAGGAAGGUGGGGAUGACGUCAAGUCAUCAUGGCCCUUACGAGUAGGGCUACACACGUGCUACAAUGGCAUAUACAAAGAGAAGCGACCUCGCGAGAGCAAGCGGACCUCAUAAAGUAUGUCGUAGUCCGGAUUGGAGUCUGCAACUCGACUCCAUGAAGUCGGAAUCGCUAGUAAUCGUAGAUCAGAAUGCUACAGUGAAUACGUUCCCGGGCCUUGUACACACCGCCCGUCACACCAUGGGAGUGGGUUGCAAAAGAAGUAGGUAGCUUAACCUUCGGGAGGGCGCUUACCACUUUGUGAUUCAUGACUGGGGUGAAGUCGUAACAAGGUAACCGUAGGGGAACCUGCGGCUGGAUCACCUCCUU